AGCCCCAUGAUCUAGCGGCCAAGGAUAGCGGGCUUUGGACCCGUUCACGUCGGUUCGAAUCCGACUGGGGCUA
rnacentral:tRNA from 1 species